rnacentral:rRNA from 1 species
CUUGACAAACUUAUAAGAGGUCCAGCCUGCCCAGUGACUCUGUUCAACGGCCGCGGUAUCCUAACCGUGCGAAGGUAGCGUAAUCACUUGUUCUUUAAAUGAGGACUAGUAUGAAUGGCACCACGAAGGUUAUACUGUCUCCUUUUUCUAAUCAGUGAAACUAAUCUUCCCGUGAAGAAACGGGAAUAAAAAUAUAAGACGAGAAGACCCUAUGGAGCUUUAAACAAAUAUACACCUGCCUCUUUACCAAAAAAUUUCAGAAGACAAGUAGUUAUCCAGGCAUUUUGAUAUAGCGUUUUAGGUUGGGGUGACCGCGGAGCAAAAAAUAACCUCCGCAGCGAACGGGAAUAUUCCCUAAACUAAGGGCCACAACCCCAAGUAUUGAUAAAUCAACACUAAUUGACCCA